rnacentral:rRNA from 1 species
UACGGGGGGGGCAAGCGUUGUUCGGAAUUACUGGGCGUAAAGGGCUCGUAGGCGGCCAACUAAGUCAGACGUGAAAUCCCUCGGCUUAACCGGGGAACUGCGUCUGAUACUGGAUGGCUUGAGUUGGGAGAGGGAUGCGGAAUUCCAGGUGUAGCGGUGAAAUGCGUAGAUAUCUGGAGGAACACCGGUGGCGAAGGCGGCAUCCUGGACCAACACUGACGCUGAGUGAGCGAAAGCCAGGGGAGCAAACGGG